rnacentral:rRNA from 2 species
CAACUUUCAGCAAUGGAUCUCUUGGCUCUCGCAUCGAUGAAGAACGCAGCGAAUAGCGAUAUGUAAUGUGAAUUGCAGAUCUACAGUGAAUCAUCGAAUCUUUGAACGCACCUUGCGCUCCUCGGUGUUCCGAGGAGCAUGCCUGUUUGAGCGUCAG